rnacentral:rRNA from 1 species
UUUAAAAGUUGUAUCAAGGUCUCCGUUGGUGAACCAGCGGAGGGAUCAUUG